rnacentral:lncRNA from 1 species
AUCAUGGUGACCAAGAGAGGGGCAAUUUCUGCAUUACCUACAAAAGAUGAUGUCCUGCAAUAUUAGAUGCAAUAGGAACAUCAGCUGUUAUAAAAUGUAAUAUAUGUUGACAAAGAGUGAGUGAUUAACCUUCUGACUUGGUUUUGAUGGCACUAAUUUGUGAAGUCCUGUACUGCAACAUUCAGGCUAGAACAGAUCAAUAUGUUGAGUUGGAUUUCCUUUUGAUUAUGCCAGCAGCCGCGCAUAUGUUUUGAUCUUGUUAUUUUAAACUCAUAAUUAUUGUGUUAUCUUCUUCCAUUUUGACUCUUAAGAUUUCAAUACGUUAAUGCUUGAAGAACCAAUCCG